rnacentral:tRNA from 1 species
GCCGCAAAGUUUAGGUGGUAAAACAACUGCCUCGUAAGCAGCAUUCCCUGGUCCGAAACCAGGUUGUGGCCCCA